UGAGUAUGAUGAAGAGGGAUGAGCUUAGGAGGAAUGGGCAAGGCCGUACAUGCUUGGGCGAGUGAAACAUCAACCAAGAUUAAACCAAAGUUACCUGAGUAACUUUGGAUGGUAAAGAGAAGCCCUAUUCCCUUAGCUAAAGGCAUCAGACCGUUCCAAGGGAAGAAGAGGCGCGUGUGACAGGCUGGAGAAGAGCUGGAUAAAGCAAAAUGAGCUUUAUGCACAAGGAAGAAGCUCAUUGGAUGGU
rnacentral:lncRNA from 1 species